AGUGAACGCUGGCGGUAGGCCUAACACAUGCAAGUCGAACGGCAGCACAGUAAGAGCUUGCUCUUACGGGUGGCGAGUGGCGGACGGGUGAGGAAUACAUCGGAAUCUACUUUUUCGUGGGGGAUAACGUAGGGAAACUUACGCUAAUACCGCAUACGACCUACGGGUGAAAGCAGGGGAUCUUCGGACCUUGCGCGAUUGAAUGAGCCGAUGUCGGAUUAGCUAGUUGGCGGGGUAAAGGCACACCAAGGCGACGAUGCGUAGCUGAUCUGAGAGGAUGAUCAGCCACACUGGAACUGAGACACGGUCCAGACUCCUACGGGAGGCAGCAGUGGGGAAUAUUGGACAAUGGGCGCAAGCCUGAUCCAGCAAUACCGCGUGGGUGAAGAAGGCCUUCGGGUUGUAAAGCCCUUUUGUUGGGAAAGAAAAACAGCAGGUUAAUACCCCGCUGUUCUGACGGUACCCAAAGAAUAAGCACCGGCUAACUUCGUG
rnacentral:rRNA from 1 species